AAAAAAGAAGCUAAGUUUCUGCAACUCCACUAGGUGAGACUGGAACAAAGAAGUCAAUAGCAGACAAUGCCAUCCAAUAAUCAGGUAUUUCCACUGCAGUGUUGAAAAUGCAGAAACGUUGAUAGCUCAGUGAAGUAAUUUUUACAGUAGUAAUUAAUAAUGUAUAUUUAGAUGGUGUGUUUACAUCCAAAUGCUUAGGUAUAUUGGGGAUUAUUCGAAGAUUGUUGCUUUGUUUCACAAUAUAAAAUUGCUUGGAAAAGCUGCUGGCUGUGCACAGCAAAUUAUGGCUCAGGAAAUGCUUACAAACCUGGAUUUAGAAAAAUCUUGCUUUUAUAAGAGUUUGGUUUUAUGAGUAGCUAUACAUUUCCAAAACAGAAUACAAAGUCCUUGAGAAUUUCAAAAGGAGCUGUGUAUGCGUCAGUUGGCUGGAACAUACUCCUCUUACCCUUACUUGGGAUUUGGGGUUUGUUUACAGAGUAGAAUUACAAUGUUGAGUUGAAAAAAACAAUCUAGGAAUUGGGAAGCCAGCCAAAUAUUUAUUUAUGUGGUCAGUCAUAUGAACAUAUUUGUUCAGAUGUGCUAAUGGAUACUCCAGUGGAAGUGUUAGGUCAUUGAAAGUGUCAGGAUGCAAACAAUCUGAAGUCCGGGCUGAGAGUUUGGUAUCUGUUCAGUCAUUCUGUGUAGUUUAUCUUCACAUGGUAAGAGCAGCUUCCUCACUCCCAGAAAAUUACUAUUUCUGUAGGGUUAAAAUGUCUUAAACCUCUGCAACAUGAAUUUGCGGAAGUCACUGCGCAGGUAGCAAAGGCUGCAUUUGAGAGCUCCAUGGUCCAUUGCCACAAGACACAAGAUUUCUUUCCAAAAGAAACAGUUCUGACCCGAGGGUAAUUCUCUGACCAGGGAUUUGGACACCCUACCCUUCCCAGAUACGUUCAAAAAGAAGUCCCUGAACACAUUAGGCUACAUUAGGUAAUUCUAGCCAAGCUUAGCCUGUAUCUGAGUAUUAUGGCAACAUAAUUGUGAGUCAAUGCAAGUGUGAACUUCCAGCAUUAACCAUUAUAUCACAAGGCUUGUGAUAAGGCUGGACACAAUCACAUGAAAGUUAGAGGAUCUGAGAUUUCAAGUUGCUGGUGGAGUUGGUGAUUUGCUCAUAAAACUUUUUUCUGUCCCCUCACACAUAUAUAGUAGGACAUAGUCCAUGCACAAUUCUUCGUUCAGGUUUUUUGGAGGGAGUUCUGUUUCUUUCUCUGCACAGAGUGUGUGAUAUUUGGGCGAAUGAAGUGGCUGGGUGUAUGAUACUUCCUUUUACUUCUUUCAUUGAGGUUUUCAUAAUAUGGUAGUCUUAAUUUUGAGGAAAGACAGACUUUUUUUUCCCCCCCCCCAAAGGAUAGGUAUAAACUGUGAUUUAGGAAAAUCCAUUAUCCCCCAUGCUCUCAAGCUUUCAGAGCAGAACACCUGCAGUUCUGUUCUACAGGCUUUUCUCUUGUGGAGGGGAUCCUGUGAAGCUGAUGGAGAUCACACAUUCAGAGGCCUUGUAGUACUCACUCCCAGCCUACAAAUGCUAACAGCUGAACUUGGGAGAGUGAUGAAUCCCAGCUCUGUCCAAGCAUGUCUCCUCCAUCACUGGGACCACUCUAAAGACUAUCAGCAGCCUGUCAGCCGUGCUCUCCAGUGAUGCUGUAAGGGAAGGAAGAGCUGUCCAAUGUGGAUUGAUCAGUGAACUCUUCAUCCAGUCAGACCUAACCACCAGCAGCAGGAAAGAAGGGGCACCACUGCUUGUGACUGUUUUUAGAUGGAAACAGUGAGCUCAGUAUGAUAUCUGUUAUUCUGAUGACAGACGUUGCUGAGCUUUUCUGCAUUUUAGAUGUACACUUGCUGUGAUGGACAGAGGCCCCUUGGGGUGAGGAAAAGAUAGGACUCAGCAGUGUGCUGGUCCAAAAUGAGAGCAAGAGGUGUGUGUAUUUUCCCUUGACACCUUGCCCAGUGUUUACUAAUUAUAUUAGCACCAAUUAAUCCAGCUGACCUGAGACUCAGUGUUCAGGCCAGGCAGUAAGCUUCUGCUGUGUUGAUAAGAGAACCGGCAGAUAACCAAAAUUAUGCUUUCUGUCCAUAACAUCAAUGAAUAUUUCCAUACACGUUCAAAUAGCUCACAGAGAGUUUACAUCUUGUAUUUUUCACUGUUAAGGCUUAUUCAAAGAACAGCAAAGGCAAUUUAAAAAAAAACAAACUAUUGAGUACUGUAAGGACCCUCAAGGAUUAACAUUCAUAGAGUCAUCAAUACAAAAUAACCACCAAGUUAACCUGCCAGCUUCUGUCAUAAAUGCAGAGAAUACAGGCACUAUCAUCAUCUUUCUGUUCACACUCCAUAGAGCAAAACAGAGGCAUGUACUAAAAACAGCUCUCUGAAUCAGACCACCCAAGACGCAAAUAUUUUCUAAAUUUUGUUGCUUUCAUUUCCAUUUUCAUAAGUGAAAUUAAAAGUUUGCAAAGUAUUUUUUUUUAUUCAUGUUGUUCAAUUUAGAUAUUUAUAUUCACAGUUGAACAGUUGCCAGCAGUGCCCUGGCAGCCAGGAGGGCCAGCCCUGUCCUGGGGGCAUCAGACCCAGCAUGGCCAGCCAGGCAAAGGAGGGGAUUGUCCCCUCUGCUCUGGGACAGCCUCACCUCCAGUGCUGGGGGCAGUUCUGGGUGCCACAAAAUGAGAAGGAUCUAAAGCUCUCAGAGGCCAUCCCGAAAGAUGCUGAAGGGUUUAUAGGGGAAGCCACAGGAGGUAUGUCUGAGAUCAUUUGGCUUUUUCAGCCUGGAGAAGAAGGAACCUUGGGGGAGACCUCACUGCAGUUAUAACUUCCUCAUGGUUGGAAGAGGAGGGGCAGGCACUGAUCUCUUCUCUCUGGUGAGCAGUGACAAAACCCAGGGAAUGGCCUGAAGUUGUGUCAGGGAAGGUUUGAGUUGGAUAUCAGGAAAAGAUUCUUCACCAGAGGGUGGUUGGGUGCUGGAACAGGCUCCCCAGGGAAGUGAUCACAGCACCAGCCUGACAGAGUUCAAAAAGCAUUUGGACAAUGGUCUCAGGCACAUGGUGUGACUCUUGGGGAUGGUCCUGUUCAGGGCCAAGGUUGGGUUCAAUGACCAGACCACUGCAUGAGUUCAUUACUGGAGUAAUGUUUCUCACAUUGCACCUGAGCCUCCACACAGAUUUAUUCUGCAGGGCUUUUUUUUUCAAUUUUAAUCUUCAAGCUACACAUGAUAAAAAAUUCAUCAUUUUGAAGCUGUAAAAAUGGGUUCACUAUGUUUUGGUUUAUUUUUAACAUACUCAUUUUGUUCAAACUUUCCUGUCUACUACAUCCAUAGACCUUCCAGGAAAAUACUGUUUUGAAAGGAAGAGAGUAAUUGUAAAUAGUCCUGUGGGGGCUGGAAUUAGCAGCACUAUCAGGAUUAGUAAUCUAUUGAAACCAGGAAUUUUAGAACAGGUUUUCUAAUAUUUACAAAUUUCCCCCUGUAUCUGUAGAGUUCAAUUUCAGUAUCCUUCUUCAGCCAGCCCAUUCUUGUGUUUCCUACUCUUUCUCCAUGUUCCCAUCUGCUGCAGCCCUAAAUCCAUGUUUAUAUCUUCCACAGGUUGGUGUUGACAGACAUUUUAAAAACAAUAUAGACAACUUCCACAGUGCUGAGGUCUGGUUAUAAUUAUUAAAUAGAGAAAAGAUACCUCUGCAUUUCUGGCUCCCUUAAACUAUCAGGAACGUGUUAAAUUAAAA